AUUGAACGCUGGCGGCAUGCCUUACACAUGCAAGUCGAACGGUAACAGGUCUUCGGAUGCUGACGAGUGGCGAACGGGUGAGUAAUACAUCGGAACGUGCCUAGUAGUGGGGGAUAACUACUCGAAAGAGUGGCUAAUACCGCAUGAGAUCCACGGAUGAAAGCAGGGGAUCGCAAGACCUUGUGCUACUAGAGCGGCCGAUGGCAGAUUAGGUAGUUGGUGGGAUAAAAGCUUACCAAGCCGACGAUCUGUAGCUGGUCUGAGAGGACGAUCAGCCACACUGGGACUGAGACACGGCCCAGACUCCUACGGGAGGCAGCAGUGGGGAAUUUUGGACAAUGGGCGCAAGCCUGAUCCAGUAAUGCCGCGUGCAGGAUGAAGGCCUUCGGGUUGUAAACUGCUUUUGUACGGAACGAAAAUCCCUUGGUUAAUACCCCGGGGUCAUGACUGUACCGUAAGAAUAAGCACCGGCUAACUACGUGUCAGCAGACGCAGUAAAAC
rnacentral:rRNA from 1 species